UGUUGAGAACCAGUUUCGCCUCUGCUCAAGAGAGAUGGCAAAAACGGCCUUUUUGCUCUGCUCUUUGAUUGAGACCACUGAAAACUGUUUCUCUCUCCGUUUGCCUGAGAAAAGAACGCUUUCUGCCUUCUCUUCCCGAGGAUAAACCCAAGGCUCAUUCCUUUGAUUGAAGGGACUGAAACCUCUUUGUUCCUCCGAUGUAUGUAGAGGUUUCUAUGCUACUGGUGCCGUCUUUUCCCUGAGGCAUCAUCAUGAUCCGCGGAACAGGUUCUGCCCUCUUUUCUGCUGCUCUACUGUUCGCUAAACAAGGCUUGUUGUAUCUAUCUAACGCUAAGGCUGAAUCGGUUCCUUUGACCAAUUGAAUAGAUGAAAGCAGGUGAGGCUCUGGUUUCUCUUCCUUGCCGUCAUACACGAGCUUCAACAGGAGAAUGUUGAAGAGGAGCUCGACCAAAUAAACUUAGCCCAGAAGCUAAUAACUAAAUUAUGGAGUUGAUUUUAGGUCUAUAUUUUCCAUUUUAGUUUUCCUUUUCUUGGGGUAAUUAUUCUUCCAUACUGGACGUAUGUUCUCCUGAACUACAGGGGAAUGAGCUGUGAACAUUUUGAUAUGUGAAUGAAAUUUUGUGUUUGUUGUU